rnacentral:lncRNA from 1 species
GAUGCAGUCCAUCUUACUUUAAUUGAUUUAAUAUUAAAAAAAUUAACUUCUUAGCAAUGAGAAAGGAGAUGAUGGACAUGAAUGAAAGAAAGUAGUGUGAAAUGGUGAUAAUGAUCAUUAGUGGGUAAAAAAAAAUGCUAGAUAGAUUUGAGAAAUAACCUACAUGAUCAACAUAUAUAAGAGUAGAAUUGAGAUAUAGUAAGCCUAACUUGAGAUCAAUUUUGUACAACAAUUUUCCCCUUUUAUUGGCACAUUCUUGCCGCAUUAUAUGAAACUAAA